rnacentral:rRNA from 1 species
UACGUAGGGUGCAAGCGUUGUCCGGAAUUAUUGGGCGUAAAGAGCUCGUAGGCGGUUUGUCGCGUCUCCUGUGAAAACUCGGGGCUUAACCCCGGGCCUGCAGUGGGUACGGGCAGACUAGAGUGCGGUAGGGGAGACUGGAAUUCCUGGUGUAGCGGUGAAAUGCGCAGAUAUCAGGAGGAACACCGAUGGCGAAGGCAGGUCUCUGGGCCAUAACUGACGCUGAGAAGCGAAAGCAUGGGGAGCGAACAGG